AGAGUUUGAUCAUGGCUCAGAGCGAACGCUGGCGGCAGGCCUAACACAUGCAAGUCGAACGGCUCUUCGGAGCAGUGGCGGACGGGUGAGUAACGCGUGGGAACGUGCCCUUUGGUUCGGAACAACACAGGGAAACUUGUGCUAAUACCGGAUGUGCCCUUCGGGGGAAAGAUUUAUCGCCAUUGGAGCGGCCCGCGUUGGAUUAGGUAGUUGGUGGGGUAAUGGCCCACCAAGCCGACGAUCCAUAGCUGGUCUGAGAGGAUGAUCAGCCACACUGGGACUGAGACACGGCCCAGACUCCUACGGGAGGCAGCAGUGGGGAAUCUUGCGCAAUGGGCGAAAGCCUGACGCAGCCAUGCCGCGUGAAUGAUGAAGGUCUUAGGAUUGUAAAAUUCUUUCACCGGGGAAGAUAAUGACGGUACCCGGAGAAGAAGCCCCGGCUAACUUCGUGCCAGCAGCCGCGGUAAUACGAAGGGGGCUAGCGUUGCUCGGAAUUACUGGGCGUAAAGGGCGCGUAGGCGGACAGUUAAGUCAGAGGUGAAAGCCCAGGGCUCAACCUUGGAAUUGCCUUUGAUACUGGCUGUCUUGAGUUCGGGAGAGGUGAGUGGAAUGCCGAGUGUAGAGGUGAAAUUCGUAGAUAUUCGGCGGAACACCAGUGGCGAAGGCGACUCACUGGCCCGAUACUGACGCUGAGGCGCGAAAGCGUGGGGAGCAAACAGGAUUAGAUACCCUGGUAGUCC
rnacentral:rRNA from 1 species